UUCUUGCUUUUUUAUUAUUCAUUUUUUUAUUAUUGUUAAUAAUAAUAAUGAAUAUCAGAUCUUUAUGAUGAUGUUUGGUUUUUGAUUUGCAGAUGUUGGUUGUGAAUCUCUUUGCUUUAGUGGCGAUAAAUCAGCAUUCAAUGAUGUCGUGUAAAGAUGAGAUGAUGGUGAUAUAUCCUCGCAGCGAAGGAUGAAGCGAUGAACUUUUAUCUUUCAUAUUUCACAGUUUUUCCUUAAACAUCAUCUAUUACGCAACCAUAGUUUUUUUUAUUCAUUUAUUCCUUUUAUUGUUUAGUAUUUUUGUUCCUUUUAAUUUAUAUUUGGUUUUGUUUUGCAGUUGAUCGUAAUCGUUCCUCAUAGUCAAUAUUGAAACAAUAAAAUUGGAUAUGGACGUUGACUUUCGUACGAGUGUAUAGGUGAGGUACGUUCAAAAAUGUUUCGUGGGAAACUCGAAAGUGUUUAUGGGAAUCCUGAUCAAUUUCCGCAAGAGGAUUAUCUGUGUUUUCUUGGUUUAGGAGCAGGAGAUUGUCAAGAAGGUUUUUAAGAUCAAGAAACAAAAGGAGAAUGUUGGAAAUAAAUAGAUUUGUAAAAACUUUUUUGUGUUGUAUUAGAUGAAGGAAAUUUUGACUUUCAAGUAGAUAACAAAUGCGUGUUUUCAUGUUGUUGGUUUGGUUCGACUAAAUCGUUUCUUUUGCGUAAAGGUUAAUUUAGGUUCUUUGUAUUUAUGAAGACCCUGAAUUUGUAUGGGGUGGCAUCCAAGGGUUCGACAAAGGGGUCUAAUAAGUGAUAUGGCGUAGGAGUUCAUCACGGUUACAUUAUAGGUUGAGUUUAUUUGGUUUUUCUUAGGCUUUAGUCAAUUCACUGAUAUAAACUCUUUCACGUUUGUCGACUGCAUUAUAAGUUCUUGGCUUAUCUGCAUUUGUAUCAAAUACCAAUAGUUGUAAGG